AGCGAACGCUGGCGGCAGGCUUAACACAUGCAAGUCGAACGCCCCGCAAGGGGAGUGGCAGACGGGUGAGUAACACGUGGGAACGUACCCUUUGGUUCGGAAUAACUUGGGGAAACUCAAGCUAAUACCGGAUAAGCCCUUAUGGGGAAAGGUUUACUGCCGAAGGAUUGGCCCGCGUCUGAUUAGCUAGUGGGUGAGGUAAUGGCUCACCAAGGCGACGAUCAGUAGCUGGUCUGAGAGGAUGAUCAGCCACACUGGGACUGAGACACGGCCCAGACUCCUACGGGAGGCAGCAGUGGGGAAUAUUGGACAAUGGGGGCAACCCUGAUCCAGCCAUGCCGCGUGAGUGAUGAAGGCCUUAGGGUUGUAAAGCUCUUUUACCCGGGACGAUAAUGACUGUACCGGGAGAAUAAGCCCCGGCUAACUUCGUGCCAGCAGCCGCAGUAA
rnacentral:rRNA from 1 species